GUAGAUCUCAAUGAGGAUAUUAAGCUCCCUCUUCUGAAUUGAUUUGUGGACAAUUGCCGGCAGAAUCGAACCUAAUUAUUAACUUGCCAUCACUGAGUGA